rnacentral:rRNA from 1 species
UACGUAGGGGGCUAGCGUUGUCCGGAAUCAUUGGGCGUAAAGAGCGUGUAGGCGGCCCGGUAAGUCCGCUGUGAAAGUCGGGGGCUCAACCCUCGAAUGCCGGUGGAUACUGUCGGGCUAGAGUGCGGAAGAGGCGAGUGGAAUUCCUGGUGUAGCGGUGAAAUGCGCAGAUAUCAGGAGGAACACCGAUUGCGAAGGCAGCUCGUUACACGCAUAUUGACUCUGAGGCUCGAAAGCGUGGGGAUCAAACAGG